GAUACAACCUAUAUUACUAUUUGACCAGCUACUAGUAACAGCACACUGCUUGGAUGGCUUUAGACUGAUAAACCAGAAUAUAAAUCACAACUGAAGGUCAUCUUUAAGCACAAAAUUAUAAGAAUCAUAACUCCAGUUUGUGCUACAUACUCCGAAAAGGGAAAACAAUAAUUGACUUUGGAUCUUUUUCCAUUACACAACUUAGAACUAUUUAUAUGAGAUUGUCUGCUCUGCUGUUCCUAACUCAGUUGAACUCAGCUGGCAUUUAAAGACAAUGCAAUGGUAGAAGAAGUGACAAGUUGCAGGUCGUUUUCCUGACUGUCUAAAUCCAAUGUUCCUUAGUUCAUAAGAAAUUUCAUCUUUACCCAGAACAACUAGCAUUACCCAUGUGACUGGUCAUUUUCAUUUUAUCAUUGGUGAGGCCAUAACUUCUAGAUAUCAUCUAAUCAACCAUUGAAGAACACUACUGUUGACAUCUUUGCACAAUAUGCAGUUUUGCAGCAAUAUUUUUCCUCAGCAUUUAUACCCAAGACAUGAGAUAAAUAUCCUGCUGGAACAGAAUUGAUACACGAACCAGAGAAUGAUGAAAGUUAUG